rnacentral:rRNA from 1 species
GACGAACGCUGGCGGCGUGCUUAACACAUGCAAGUCGAACGGUAAGGCCCUUCGGGGUACACGAGUGGCGAACGGGUGAGUAACACGUGGGUGAUCUGCCCUGCACUUCGGGAUAAGCCUGGGAAACUGGGUCUAAUACCGGAUAGGACCACUGCCUGCAUGGGUGGUGGUGGAAAGCUUUUGCGGUGUGGGAUGGGCCCGCGGCCUAUCAGCUUGUUGGUGGGGUGAUGGCCUACCAAGGCGACGACGGGUAGCCGGCCUGAGAGGGUGACCGGCCACACUGGGACUGAGAUACGGCCCAGACUCCUACGGGAGGCAGCAGUGGGGGAUAUUGCACAAUGGGCGCAAGCCUGAUGCAGCGACGCCGCGUGAGGGAUGACGGCCUUCGGGUUGUAAACCUCUUUCAGCACCGACGAAGCGCAAGUGGCGGUAGGUGCAGAAGAAGGACCGGCCAACUACGUGCCAGCAGCCGCCGUAA